rnacentral:rRNA from 1 species
GAUGAACGCUGACAGAAUGCUUAACACAUGCAAGUCAACUUGAAUUUGGGUUUUUAACUUCGGUUUGGGUGGCGGACGGGUGAGUAACGCGUAAAGAACUUGCCUCACAGCUAGGGACAACAUUUGGAAACGAAUGCUAAUACCUAAUAUUAUGAUAAUAGGGCAUCCUAUAAUUAUGAAAGCUAUAAGCGCUGUGAGAGAGCUUUGCGUCCCAUUAGCUAGUUGGAGAGGUAACGGCUCACCAAGGCGAUGAUGGGUAGCCGGCCUGAGAGGGUGAUCGGCCACAAGGGGACGGAGACACGGCCCUUACUCCUACGGGAGGCAGCAGUGGGGAAUAUUGGACAAUGGACCGAGAGUCUGAUCCAGCAAUUCUGUGUGCACGAUGAAGUUUUUCGGAAUGUAAAGUGCUUUCAGUUGGGAAGAAACAAAUGACGGUACCAACAGAAGAAGUGACGGCUAAAUACGUG